rnacentral:rRNA from 1 species
CACGUAGGCGGUGCCGUAAGUUGGACGUGAAAGCUCUCGGCUUAACUGGGAGAGGUCGUUCAAUACUGCGGUGCUUGAGGUUGGAAGAGGAGAGUGGAAUUCCCGGUGUAGUGGUGGAAUGCGUAGAUAUCGGGAGGAACACCAGUGGCGAAGGCGGCUCUCUGGUCCACACCUGACGCUGAGGUGCGAAAGCGUGGGGAGCGAACG